rnacentral:rRNA from 1 species
UAGGGAAUCUUCGGCAAUGGGGGGAACCCUGACUGAGCAACGCCGCGUGAGUGAAGAAGGUUUUCGGAUCGUAAAGCUCUGUUGUUAAGGAAGAACGAGUGUGAGAAUGGAAAGUUCAUACUGUGACGGUACUUAACCAGAAAGGGACGGCUAACUACGUGCCAGCAGCCGCGGUAAUACGUAGGUCCCGAGCGUUGUCCGGAUUUAUUGGGCGUAAAGCGAGCGCGGGCGGUUAGAUAAGUCUGAAGUUAAAGGCAGUGGCUCAACCAUUGUAGGCUUUGGAAACUGUUUAACUUGAGUGCAGAAGGGGAGAGUGGAAUUCCCUGUGUAGCGGUGAAAUGCGUAGAUAUAUGGAGGAACACCGGUGGCGAAAGCGGCUCGCUGGUCUGUAACUGACGCUGAGGCUCGAAAGCGUGGGGAGCGAACAGG